UAAUUGCCACCUUCUUGAGUGAAACUUCCAUGCCAGGAUACUCUAUAGGCUCAUGUCCAGCCUAUUGAUCAGCUGCUCCUAGGAAUUUAUUUUAAAGAGGGAAGUAUUGGCGUAUACAAGCAAAACUAUGUACCAAGCAGUUCAUAAAUGAGUUGCCUCGCUGUUCUUCCAGUCACACAAUACCCCAAAUCUCUGUGGACCCUGAAUGAGAGAUUUCGAGCGGCACACUGCAUCACCUGUAGUCGCAGGCGUCGUCUCGAACGAUUUC